CUCGGCCACUUUCAGCGCUGCCCUCCCAUUAUUCCUCCGCUAUUGGUCGGAGACGCGAUCAGGACACGCCCACUUCUAACUGCGAUUGGGACACAGCCGCGGCGGGGUUAUGCUAGGCUAACGCUGUGUGCUAAAAGACAGGAUCCGACACAAACCACUUUACCCCAGUCAAAGAUCGGAAAGACUUUUCACCUUUAUCAUGGCGGAUUCAGAUGUAGGUACCGCGCAAAAAGCGGACAGCUCUGCAGACCCGUAUGAGAGAGCAGUGAAGUAUCUGGAGAGCCAUAACAUUCUGCAGAUAUUUCAGGAAAUCACAGAGAGCCUGGUUUACGACAGACCUGAUGACCCCCUGCAGUUUAUGUUAGAG
ensembl:lncRNA